rnacentral:rRNA from 1 species
AGCGAACGCUGGCGGCAGGCCUAACACAUGCAAGUCGAACGAACUCUUCGGAGUUAGUGGCGGACGGGUGAGUAACACGUGGGAACGUGCCUUUUGGUUCGGAAUAACUCAGGGAAACUUGUGCUAAUACCGAAUGUGCCCUUCGGGGGAAAGAUUUAUCGCCAUUAGAGCGGCCCGCGUCUGAUUAGCUAGUUGGUGAGGUAACGGCUCACCACGGCGACGAUCAGUAGCUGGUCUGAGAGGAUGACCAGCCACACUGGGGCUGAGACACGGCCCAGACUCCUACGGGAGGCAGCAGUGGGGAAUCUUGCGAAAUGGGCGGAAGCCUGACGCAGCCAUGCCGCGUGAAUGAUGAAGGUCUUAGGAUUGUAAAAUUCUUUCACCGGGGACGAUAAUGACGGUACCCGGAGAAGAAGCCCCGGCUAACUUCGUG